CAGCCCACACUUGUGCUCUGGUGGGCUGUCCCAUCCUUUACAGAUUCUGCUGGAUUCCAGCUGCCCUGUGACCUUGUUGUUCCAACACCGCCCAGCAGCAUCUUCAGAGCUGAGCUCCCUGGGCCGUGGCAGCACAAUCCUUCGUCAACACCUGUGUGCCCACUUGAAAUUCCCCGGCUAGGGAAUUCUGAGAUGGUGUUGGUGAAAUGCUGGGAAUUGCCUAAAAAAGAAAGGAUAUUGCUGGAGCAGAGACAACAGCUUUUGAAGCAAUUUUCUGGCCCACACAGCUUCAGCCCCAAAUUAGACUUCAUCCAUCUGGGUGCACAUGCCCUGCUCACCAAAUUUCUGCUUAGCCUUGCACGGAUCAGAACGAAUAACCCAAGCAAGAGAUUCUCGUCUGUUCCCCUCCCUUGACCUCCCGGCGCUGCUCUGUUCCUCUCCAGACAGCCUGGGCACACACAGGAGCCAGAAUUUGGCCGGCAUGUUGGCAAUGGGAGAAGAGUUUAAAAGGGAGAAAAGAAAUGCAGAUGGCUGAGAACCACCUGUCAAGGAUUCCCAGGGUGCAGACAGAUUAGUGAUGCUAUUUGUGGUUGCAGUGGAUGCAACAAUCUCUUCCCCACAGCCGUUGAUGGGGACAAGUUGCUGCUCCAGGGUAAGCGGUGAGAAAGGUGCUUCCCCUUUUCCUUCACCUGCUCCCUGGCACUUAGGGGAGACACAUUUAAAGCCAAAAUGGAGAAAUCAAGCUGUUCAUGAGAGCCAGUAUUUACUUCACUUCACAGGAACUUUCUCUUAUAAUAUAUUAGAUAUAAUUUUUUCCUUUGUCUUGUACUGUGUGUUAAGGGCUGUCCUAUUGUGGCUGCUUUGACAGCCACAUCUUUCUUGUUUAUAAUACAAUUUGACUGACAAUAAGUCAGGGAACUGUGAUUUGAACUCCUCGUUGUGACUGGCCUGACAAUAGUCUUUCUCAUUUAUAGUGCCAUUUGGUUGACAAUAAGUCAGGGGAUUGGCAGCUGGUUAGGGUUUUUUUUUUUUUCCCCAUGAAUGUGUAUUUCUGGCUAAGACAAGACAUCUAUUCCUAAAUAGUUUGACAGAUAAUUUGUACAAAAUUCUAGAAUGGUGAUAUUCUUCAGCAUCCUUAUUAAAAUAAUAUUGUUCUUUGGCUUUGUACCAGUUUCACUUUUAAGAUGAUGGUUUUCCUUCUUUCUCCUGUGCCAGCUGUGUCUCUAUUUUUGUCACCAUUACUAAAGCUUUAUAGAAUUGCAGUUUAUAUGUUAGUAACUGUUACAUGUGUUCUUGACAAUUUUUCUUCUUAACAAGCGUGAGAAAAGCUAUUAUCUGGUCUGUGAAAUCAGUGUAGAUGUGCUAUAAUUGGGAGGUUUGGGGAACUCUUCAGUGGUUCUGCUUGUGUACUGUUAAUUGUAGUCAGUCACUUCCACGAUAUUUUCUUUAUUUUUAUAGAGAAGGAAUUCUGGCACUCACUGUGCUGUUGAUAAGUAUCAUCUCUAAAGAAACACACUUUCUCUGACACUUGGCACAACUCUGCCUUCCACCCGAGAGUCCCAAAGCCAAAACCAGCACAGUUUGUGGUGAUGUAAUAGCAAAGGAGUAGUUUGCAGUGACCUUCUGCAAAACUUGGCCAGGAAUCAAUGCCAAAAUGGCCUAUGAAACAUACCCUGGGCAGUAGAAUAACAACCUGUCAGGCUGCCUAAUGCAUCUUUGCCUUCCCUGCAAUGUCCAAAGGCAGAGGAAAGUGAGAACAUGGAAAACAGAUAUCCUAAAGAGCAUUUUUAUUUAGAAAACAAAAAAAAGCCCGAAACCCACAAACACAUAUUUGCAUAUUACUGCUGCUGUGCAGUUUCAGUCUGAUCAUGAAGGGCUCUCAAUUGGAUAUCCUUCAUGAGUGCAGCCACUGUGGAGGUGGGUUGAAGGGCAAGGGAGAAAGGUUCAUGGGCAGGAAAUCAAUAAUGGUGCAAUUCCCAGGAUGAGGCAGCAGAUUCUGCAGCCACUUGCAAGUCCAUUAUUCACAUCAGUUCCAGUGUCCAUGUUUAUAAAAAGCAUAUUUUUAAUACCCCUACAACCCCACACAAGAUACAUUUAAUACAGCUAAGAGAAGGACUAGUUUAUAUUUUUUGCAGAGCACCCAUGAAUUUUUUAACUGGAGGGAUAUGAUCUCUGCACAGUUUCAAUGUGCCACUUUCACAUGCAGAUAUUUUGUAUACAAAUACUGGGAAGAUUUUCUUUAGUCACUGAGUAAAUAUUCUGCUCAGAAAUAGUUUCAAAGUUCUUCAUAAGGAGUCCAGUCAGCUACAUCAUUUAAAUAUGCUUGAGGGACUGAAGCCUGAACAAGCAAAAGCAUAAAUUGCACUUGAGCUACUGAAGAACAAUAAGUAGAACAGGUAUGUUUGUGUCUAUGCUUGUUACUAAAGGAUGAAAGUGUGAAGAAAAACUUUAAAUUGGUACUGGAAAUACAUUAGAUUUUAGAAUUCUGAUGCAAAAAUAUUCAGUAGAACAAGAAGCCUAAAAUGAGAGCUAAAGGCACUAGGCCAGAGAAUUGAAAUGUAAAGUUUGUUCAUGGUGGAGAGAAAAAUAUUUAUUCCUUGUUUUUCUAUUCCAAAUAAAUUUCUUUCUCAUGCUGUAA